rnacentral:rRNA from 1 species
AGCGAACGCUGGCGGCAGGCCUAACACAUGCAAGUCGAACGAACUCUUCGGAGUUAGUGGCGGACGGGUGAGUAACACGUGGGAACGUGCCUUUUGGUUCGGAAUAACUCAGGGAAACUUGUGCUAAUACCGAAUGUGCCCUUAGGGGGAAAGAUUUAUCGCCAUUUGAGCGGCCCGCGUCUGAUUAGCUAGUUGGUGAGGUAACGGCUCACCAAGGCGACGAUCAGUAGCUGGUCUGAGAGGAUGACCAGCCACACUGGGACUGAGACACGGCCCAGACUCCUACGGGAGGCAGCAGUGGGGAAUCUUGCGCAAUGGGCGAAAGCCUGACGCAGCCAUGCCGCGUGAAUGAUGAAGGUCUUAGGAUUGUAAAAUUCUUUCACCGGGGACGAUAAUGACGGUACCCGGAGAAGAAGCCCCGGCUAACUUCGUG